GACCUAAUGGCGAAUGGAUCGCGCCCGCGUUUCAUACCAUCUACCACUAUGCUUGCGGAAGUUCCCUGUUCGAUUCGGGGUUGGGUCA